rnacentral:rRNA from 1 species
UGCUUAACACAUGCAAGUCGAACGGCAGCACGGUCUAGCUUGCUAGAUGGGUGGCGAGUGGCGAACGGGUGAGUAACGCGUAGGAAUAUGCCUUGAAGAGGGGGAUAACUUGGGGAAACUCAAGCUAAUACCGCAUAAUGUCUAAGGACGAAAGCUGGGGACCUUUGGGCCUGGCGCUUUAAGAUUAGCCUGCGUCCGAUUAGCUAGUUGGUGGGGUAAGGGCCUACCAAGGCGACGAUCGGUAGCUGGUCUGAGAGGAUGACCAGCCACACUGGAACUGAGACACGGUCCAGACUCCUACGGGAGGCAGCAGUGGGGAAUAUUGGACAAUGGGGGGAACCCUGAUCCAGCAAUGCCGCGUGUGUGAAGAAGGCCUGAGGGUUGUAAAGCACUUUCAGUGGGGAGGAGGAUUGAUAGGUUAAGAGCUAAUUGAUUGGACGUUACCCACAGAAGAAGCACCGGCUAACUCCGUGCCAGCAGCCGCGGUAAUACGGAGGGUGCGAGCGUUAAUCGGAAUUACUGGG